rnacentral:misc_RNA from 1 species
GUGACGGCUACCGCCGCCUCAAGGACGCUCUCCCAGUGUCGAACCAGAAGUCGAGCAAGGUUUCCUUGCUGGAUCGGGCUACCACACACAUUCGCUACCUUGAGAUGACCCAACAGCAGCUGCAAACAAGACUCCAGCAGGCUGAGGCCGAGACCGCCCACCUCCGUCACGUCAACGAGGCCCUCAUGCUCGGCACCGCCGAGCAGCG